rnacentral:tRNA from 1 species
CGGGAUAGCUCAGCUGUAGAG